rnacentral:rRNA from 1 species
CGACAGGCCUAACACAUGCAAGUCGAGGGGCAGCACAAGGAGCAAUCUGAGGUGGCGACCGGCGCACGGGUGAGUAACACGUAUGCAACCUGCCUGUAAGCGGGGAAUAACCCGUUGAAAGACGGACUAAUACCGCAUAAUACUAAAUUACUGCAUGGUAAUUUAUUUAAACAUUUAUGGCUUACAGAUGGGCAUGCGCAUGAUUAGCUAGUUGGAGAGGUAACGACUCCCCAAGGCAACGAUCAUUAGGGGUUCUGAGAGGAAGGUCCCCCACACUGGUACUGAGACACGGACCAGACUCCUACGGGAGGCAGCAGUGAGGAAUAUUGGUCAAUGGACGAGAGUCUGAACCAGCCAAGUCGCGUGCAGGAAGAAAUGUCCUAUGGAUUGUAAACUGCUUUUGCAGGGGAAUAAAGUGCAUCACGUGUGAUGUUUUGUAUGUACUCUGCGAAUAAGGAUCGGCUAACUCCGUGCCAGCCGCCGC